rnacentral:rRNA from 1 species
AUACGGAGGGUGCAAGCGUUACUCGGAAUCACUGGGCGUAAAGCCCGCGCAGGCGGCUAUUUAAGUUGGAUGUGAAAGCCUACGGCUCAACCGUAGAACUGCAUCCAAAACUAUUUAGCUAGAGUGUGGGAGAGGAAGAUGGAAUUAGUUGUGUAGGGGUAAAAUCCGUAGAGAUAACUAGGAAUACCAAAAGCGAAGGCAAUCUUCUGGAACACUACUGACGCUGAGGCGCGAAAGCGUGGGGAGCAAACAAGAUUAGAAACCCGAGUAGUCC